GUGUUUCCAGCCCCCAUUUUGAAAAGCAAAACAGAGAGUUCCUUGGCUCUCUGUCCCUCCCCCUUUCUCAUUGGCUGCUAGGGUUAGAAAAUAACCCAUCAUUGCUGCCGUAUGACCACCGCGCCACUACCGCAUUCGGUGGCCGGUGAUACACCCAAAUGAGCUCCUUUAACCCUUCCUUUUUACUUGUUGGAGGCUUGCUCCCAAAAGAUCGAAAGACGAGGGUUCACCCCCCUUUCUUGGACUCGACCACGUUGAACGGAGAGGAGAGCUCCGACGACGCAGCCGCGAGGUGGAUCUGGUAAGAAUCCCUCAUCUUUCCUUUUAUUUUUAUUUUUGCCUACUUAGUUUAACAGAUUUGUAUGAAGAUUUAAAAAAGAAAUAUUAAAAAAAAACGAAAUGAAAAAAAUGAAUAAAAUUGGAAAUCAACCUUUUUCAUUUUUUGCCUUUUUGAUUGCUAGUGUUCUUUGUAAUACAAAAUUUCUUUAAAAAAAGAAAGAACCCCCUACAUCUGAUUUUCUCUUUCGGCUUUAUAGCCGAUUACCUGUGAUUUCUACUACUCUCUGCUCGUUUUCUUUUUGCUUUGCGUGUUCCUCUAUUUCUUUUCUAUCCUCUUUUGUGUUUGUUUGUAGGUGUGGCAGAGGCGAGGGGACAAGGCGUCUGUUCGGGCGUGGAUUGUGCCGACACCACGUGAGGAGCGGUGCACAUAGGGGUACUGAUAUGGAAACCCUAGGGUUUCUUUCUCUUCUAAUAAGUUUGGGCUAGGGUUUGGGCUUGUGAACUCGGGUAGAGCAUUGGGCCAGUCAUAUUUUGGGCCGUGUAUUUUGGACAUUUAGACUGUUUAUUUGGUUUGUAUUUAUUUUGUUUUUGUCUGAUUUGGGUCCGUUGGGCCCGGGCCGGGCAAAUUUGGUCCUGUACAACAAUAAUGAAAAAAAAAUAAAGAAAUUAAAAUUAGAGGUGGAAUAUGAAAUAGAUAAAUUGAUAGAGAU
rnacentral:lncRNA from 1 species